GGGUAAGAUAUGAUAGUAUAGGCUAAGGUAGGAAAGGAACGGGUAAGAUAUGAUAGUAUAGGCUAAGGUAGGAUAGGAAUGGUUAAGGUAAGAUAGAAUAGGAUGUGGUAGGAUAAGAAUGUGUAAGAUAGGAUAAGGUAGGAUAGGAACGGCUAAGAUAUGAUAGAAUAGGAUAAGGUAGGAUAGCAAUGGCUAAAGGUAAGAUAGAAUAG